rnacentral:tmRNA from 1 species
GGGGGCGAAUCAGAUUCGACGGCGGCAGCACUGACAGGAGUAGCAGGCCGGGGUCCAGGUCCUCGCAUCAACCUGGAAAAACCAAAAGAGCCAACGAGCAAUACGCUCUGGCCGCCUAGUGCGGCCACGUCCCUCCGGUCCAUGCCUGCGGGUCCGCCAGGGGCGUCAAACUAGCAGGAUACCGUAGGGGAGAUGCCGGCCGGCAUCCCCGUCGGGAAACCAUCCGGCCUGACCCGAACGGAUCCUUCCCUUGGGAGCCGGGCAGGGUGACACAAGCAAAGCAAGGGAUAAGCCUGUAGAAGCUC